rnacentral:rRNA from 1 species
GGUUAAGCGACUAAGCGUACACGGUGGAUGCCCUGGCAGUCAGAGGCGAUGAAGGACGUGCUAAUCUGCGAUAAGCGUCGGUGAGGUGAUAUGAACCGUUAUAACCGGCGAUUUCCGAAUGGGGAAACCCAGUGUGUUUCGACACACUAUCAUUAACUGAAUCCAUAGGUUAAUGAGGCGAACCGGGGGAACUGAAACAUCUAAGUACCCCGAGGAAAAGAAAUCAACCGAGAUUCCCCCAGUAGCGGCGAGCGAACGGGGAGGAGCCCAGAGCCUGAAUCAGUGUGUGUGUUAGUGGAAGCGUCUGGAAAGGCGCGCGAUACAGGGUGACAGCCCCGUACACAAAAAUGCACAUAUUGUGAGCUCGAUGAGUAGGGCGGGACACGUGGUAUCCUGUCUGAAUAUGGGGGGACCAUCCUCCAAGGCUAAAUACUCCUGACUGACCGAUAGUGAACCAGUACCGUGAG